rnacentral:lncRNA from 1 species
AGCCGCAAGGCAAAGGCAAAAGGAAGGAGAAGAAGUCACCCACUCCUAAGCCGAAAGGAGGAGUGAGGAAAAAGAAGGCAAAGGAGCCCAAAGGGACUUGCCACCACUGUGGAAAGGAGGGGCAUUGGAGGAGGAAUUGCAGGUUAUACCUUGCAAGUCUUAAGGAAAAGCCACAAGGUAUGGUUUAUGUUCUUAUCUUCAAUUCUAAAUGUUAGAUCUUCUAAAUAUUUAUAUUUGAUAUAAAGAGCUAAUCACUUGUAUAAUUGUAUAUAGGUGGAGAAGCCAAGUAGAAGAUGAACAAGCAAGGAAAAUGUGGUGAAGGGUUCGGCCACUAUGUUUUUUGCUUACUACUUAGGAAGUUUGUUAGGCAUUAAAGAUUGUCUUUAAACUUUCUUAUUUUGUUAAGAACUUAUUAUGUGGCUUCAUAUGAUGGAAGAUCACUAUUAGUGCCUAAAUGUAUAAAGGUAUUUAUAUUAGUCUCUAAAUGUAUAGAGCUAAUACUUUUUGUAUUAAACAUUAUGAAUGUUUGAAAUAUCAUAUUAAUGUAAUGUGAAGAAUGCCUUUUUUUUUAAUAUACUAUUUCCUUAAAGUAGUGUUAUGAAUUGAAAAUUGUCUUGUUGUAUCCUAGAUGAGAUACAAGAUUUAUAUCACUUAUUGUAAUGUGAUAACCAAACUUUAGACUUAUCAAUUAUGGAUAGAUCUCACAUGUAGGACAUAAAAGGAUACAAUGAAUCUUUAGAUUUGGUUCCAUUUGUCUACUUAUGAGUUCUAUAUGAAUUGACAAAAGUCUAGAGUAUCCUUUCUUGAAGAAAAGGAAGAUCACAUUAUAAUGAUAUGAGUAAUAAGAAAAACAUUUCUUAUAUGGUCAUCACUUGAAACACAAUGAUCAAGAUCACUCUUGAUUCAAUUAGUAGUUUUGAACAACUAAUUGGGCAUUCUUUAAAGGGUUUUAAAGUGUCAAUUGUGUUAGUAAUUAAACCAAGAAAGAAGUGUCUAAAUCUAUAAAAUGUUUAAAGACUUUAGUCACUUAAUAACAAGACAUUAACUUAGUGAAGAUUGAAACAAAUAAGCUUGAAAUGUUUUAAAGCUACUACACAAAUGUCUUCUUCCAAUAUACUCCACUUUUAUACAUUUUGAGUGUAUGAAAUGAUUUCUCAUUAAAGUCAUGAGAAAUAGUGGGAGGUGUGAAAAUGGAUAUAAACUUGAUUAUGAUUGGUUUAUAGUUGUCUAAAGGAUAAUAGUACUUGACUAUUAUUAAGAGUUUGUAAUUUUAAUUGUUAAAGAACUCAAGCUCUUCAAACGUUAAAAUUAUAUGUUGUGUGACAUUCUAAAGAAUAGUCUUUGAAUGUUGGUUUCGUCAACCUAGCAUAAAAUAAUUAUAUGUUGGGAAUUGUCCAUCAUUCUCUUUUAUGAGAACAAGCUAAAUAACUAAGCAUAUGGACAAGUUGAUGAAACAAAAGGGAAAUAAGUUCAAAAUGAGUCACAAGAUAUGAUUUAACAACAAGACAAUCCAAAUUCAACAUCUCAUGUAACAAUAUUGCUCUAUGUAGUUUUAAUAAAGAAUUAUAUCAACCACCUAGAAGGAAUGGUUGAGUUUCAAUAUCCUUAGUAGGAGCCAUGCUUCCACUAAAGACUUGGAUAAUUCUUAUAUGACUACAUUAAAGGUCUUAGUAUGACUAAAACUUGAAGUAUGGUGUAUGACACCAUAUAAUUUAAAUGAAUAUACUUAAUGAAACAAGUCACACAUUUCAAAUGGAAUUACUUAAGAAGGAAUUCUUUUGUGUGUGAUUCAUCUAAGUUAGUUGGAGCAAUAUGCAUUCAAAUCAAGAAAAAUAUAAUUGUUAUUUUGAAUGAAUGCUAAGUUACAACAAGGCCAGUGGGAGUGAUGUCAUAAUUUGAGCAACAAGAUGUGAAUAAAGUCUAUUCGAUAGACUUGAUAAAACAUAGAUGUUACUCGAGAAAUGAAAAAAAAAAAACAUGACAUGGUCAAUUUUGAAGUAUAGACUUGAAAUUGGACUUAUUGAUAUAGCAAGGCUAUCUCAAUAAUGUUAUAUAAGAAUUAAAUCUCAAAUGUUGUGGAUUUAAGAAAGCAUUUUUCAAUGUGAUAGAAAAACACUUUCAUAACCCUUAUAAUGAAUUUGUCACAAAAUCACAAAAGGGACACAUGUAUGGACUUGUGAAGUAGAUAACCAAAAGUGAAGAACCACAGGGGUUGUCACUAUAAGAUAUUACUAAAUCCCAUGAUCAGAACCAAAGCAACUGAAAGAGUAUUAUUGCCUUUAGGAAAGAAACAUCAGAGUGGGACUCUUGAAGCUUGCAUUCACUUAGGUUGUUAACCAAAGUGAAAAUAAGCCAUUUUAACAAAUGGAACUUCAUAAUGGAUGAAGUACUAAUCAUAUGAAUGAAUUGUUAGUAUUGUACAACAAUGGUCUCAAGGUUGGAGCAAAGUUUGUAUAAAGUAAACAAACGAAAUAUAUGACGAUAUAUUGUUUAGAAACUGCUUCAAAAGAUGUUUUGAAUGAAGGGGUUCUUAUAGAACCAAUGAUUGAAUCCAAACCAUAAGGUCGUUAGUAGGAUACUACGACGUAAUGGGGCGAUAGCUCAAGCCAUGGAAUCAAGGUCUCAUCAAAGUAUUCGAACACAAGAAAGAGACAUCAUCAAAUGUUUUGGAAACAUUUGAUAAGUAAAUCCCUUUUAGAUGAUAAAAGGGAUUAAUACAUAACCAAAUUAACCUACGAGCAUAAGCUCUCUCGACUAGCAUGUAUAAGAUACACUAGUGAUUGACUUUAGUGCAAGUGGGAGAUUGUUGGAAAUAU